rnacentral:rRNA from 1 species
GUGAGGAAUUUUCCGCAAUGGGCGAAAGCCUGACGGAGCAAUGCCGCGUGAAGGAUGAAGGCCUAUGGGUUGUAAACUUCUUUUCUCAGAAAAGAAUUAUGACGGUAUCUGAGGAAUAAGCAUCGGCUAACUCUGUGCCAGCAGCCGCGGUAAGACAGAGGAUGCAAGCUUUAUCCGGAAUGAUUGGGCGUAAAGCGUCUGUAGGUUGUUUAAAAAGUAUUCUGUCAAAGAUUAGGGCUUAACCCUAGAUAGGCAGAAUAAACUUUUAAGCUAGAGUUAGCUAGAGGCAGAAGGAAUUCCCGGUGGAGCAGUGAAAUGCGUAGAUAUCGGGAGGAACACCAAAGGCGAAGGCACUCUGCUGGGCCAAUACUAACACUGAGAGACGAAAGCGAGGGGAGCAAAUGGGAUUAGAUACCCUAGUAGUCC